rnacentral:rRNA from 1 species
GGGUUGUGAGGUUAAGCGACUAAGCGUACACGGUGGAUGCCCUGGCAGUCAGAGGCGAUGAAGGACGUGCUAAUCUGCGAAAAGCGUCGGUAAGGUGAUAUGAACCGUUAUAACCGGCGAUGUCCGAAUGGGGAAACCCAGUGCAAUUCGUUGCACUAUCGUUAACUGAAUACAUAGGUUAACGAGGCGAACCGGGGGAACUGAAACAUCUAAGUACCCCGAGGAAAAGAAAUCAACCGAGAUUCCCCCAGUAGCGGCGAGCGAACGGGGAGCAGCCCAGAGUCUGAAUCAGCUUGUGUGUUAGUGGAACGGUCUGGAAAGUCCGACGGUACAGGGUGAUAGUCCCGUACACCAAAAUGCACAGGCUGUGAACUCGAAGAGUAGGGCGGGACACGUGGUAUCCUGUCUGAAUAUGGGGGGACCAUCCUCCAAGGCUAAAUACUCCUGACUGACCGAUAGUGAACCAGUACCGUGAGGGAAAGGCGAAAAGAACCCCGGCGAGGGGAGUGAAAAAGAACCUGAAACCGUGUACGUACAAGCAGUGGGAGCACCUUCGGGUGUGACUGCGUACCUUUUGUAUAAUGGGUCAGCGACUUAUAUUCUGUAGCAAGGUUAACCGUAUAGGGGAGCCGCAGGGAAACCGAGUCUUAACUGGGCGUUAAGUUGCAGGGUAUAGACCCGAAACCCGGUGAUCUAGCCAUGGGCAGGUUGAAGGUUGGGUAACACUAACUGGAGGACCGAACCGACUAAUGUUGAAAAAUUAGCGGAUGACUUGUGGCUGGGGGUGAAAGGCCAAUCAAACCGGGAGAUAGCUGGUUCUCCCCGAAAGCUAUUUAGGUAGCGCCUCGUGAAUUCAUCUUCGGGGGUAGAGCACUGUUUCGGCUAGGGGGUCAUCCCGACUUACCAACCCGAUGCAAACUACGAAUACCGAAGAAUGUUAUCACGGGAGACACACGGCGGGUGCUAACGUCCGUCGUGAAGAGGGAAACAACCCAGACCGCCAGCUAAGGUCCCAAAGUCAUGGUUAAGUGGGAAACGAUGUGGGAAGGCACAGACAGCCAGGAUGUUGGCUUAGAAGCAGCCAUCAUUUAAAGAAAGCGUAAUAGCUCACUGGUCGAGUCGGCCUGCGCGGAAGAUGUAACGGGGCUAAACCAUGCACCGAAGCUGCGGCAGCGACACUAUGUGUUGUUGGGUAGGGGAGCGUUCUGUAAGCCUGCGAAGGUGUGCUGUGAGGCAUGCUGGAGGUAUCAGAAGUGCGAAUGCUGACAUAAGUAACGAUAAAGCGGGUGAAAAGCCCGCUCGCCGGAAGACCAAGGGUUCCUGUCCAACGUUAAUCGGGGCAGGGUGAGUCGACCCCUAAGGCGAGGCCGAAAGGCGUAGUCGAUGGGAAACAGGUUAAUAUUCCUGUACUUGGUGUUACUGCGAAGGGGGGACGGAGAAGGCUAUGUUAGCCGGGCGACGGUUGUCCCGGUUUAAGCAUGUAGGCUGGUUAUCCAGGCAAAUCCGGAUAAUCAAGGCUGAGGUGUGAUGACGAGGCACUACGGUGCUGAAGUAACAAAUGCCCUGCUUCCAGGAAAAGCCUCUAAGCAUCAGGUAACAUCAAAUCGUACCCCAAACCGACACAGGUGGUCAGGUAGAGAAUACCAAGGCGCUUGAGAGAACUCGGGUGAAGGAACUAGGCAAAAUGGUGCCGUAACUUCGGGAGAAGGCACGCUGGUGUGUAGGUGAAGUCCCUGCGGAUGGAGCUGAGACCAGUCGAAGAUACCAGCUGGCUGCAACUGUUUAUUAAAAAACACAGCACUGUGCAAACACGAAAGUGGACGUAUACGGUGUGACGCCUGCCCGGUGCCGGAAGGUUAAUUGAUGGGGUUAUCCGUAAGGAGAAGCUCUUGAUCGAAGCCCCGGUAAACGGCGGCCGUAACUAUAACGGUCCUAAGGUAGCGAAAUUCCUUGUCGGGUAAGUUCCGACCUGCACGAAUGGCGUAAUGAUGGCCAGGCUGUCUCCACCCGAGACUCAGUGAAAUUGAACUCGCUGUGAAGAUGCAGUGUACCCGCGGCAAGACGGAAAGACCCCGUGAACCUUUACUAUAGCUUGACACUGAACAUUGAGCCUUGAUGUGUAGGAUAGGUGGGAGGCUUUGAAGCGUGGACGCCAGUCUGCGUGGAGCCAACCUUGAAAUACCACCCUUUAAUGUUUGAUGUUCUAACGUUGGCCCCUUACCGGGGUUGCGGACAGUGUCUGGUGGGUAGUUUGACUGGGGCGGUCUCCUCCCAAAGCGUAACGGAGGAGCACGAAGGUUAGCUAAUCCUGGUCGGACAUCAGGAGGUUAGUGCAAUGGCAUAAGCUAGCUUGACUGCGAGCGUGACGGCGCGAGCAGGUGCGAAAGCAGGUCAUAGUGAUCCGGUGGUUCUGAAUGGAAGGGCCAUCGCUCAACGGAUAAAAGGUACUCCGGGGAUAACAGGCUGAUACCGCCCAAGAGUUCAUAUCGACGGCGGUGUUUGGCACCUCGAUGUCGGCUCAUCACAUCCUGGGGCUGAAGUAGGUCCCAAGGGUAUGGCUGUUCGCCAUUUAAAGUGGUACGCGAGCUGGGUUUAGAACGUCGUGAGACAGUUCGGUCCCUAUCUGCCGUGGGCGCUGGAGAAUUGAGGGGGGCUGCUCCUAGUACGAGAGGACCGGAGUGGACGCAUCACUGGUGUUCGGGUUGUCAUGCCAAUGGCACUGCCCGGUAGCUAAAUGCGGAAGAGAUAAGUGCUGAAAGCAUCUAAGCACGAAACUUGCCCCGAGAUGAGUUCUCCCUGAGACUUUAAGUCUCCUGAAGGAACGUUAAAGACGAUGACGUUGAUAGGCCGGGUGUGUAAGCGCAGCGAUGCGUUGAGCUAACCGGUACUAAUGAACCGUGAGGCUUAACCUUACAACGCCGAAG